CUCAAAGCCCCCUCCGCCGCUCGGCCAAUGACGCCGCUGGCGACGAGCAGCCGGGAGGACCAAUAGCAACAGCAAGGCAAAAGGGGCAAAAUGAGUGGUACGUGGACUUCUGCUUGGUUGGAAAGCUGCUGCUUUCCUUCCUCCUGGCACAAGGACGGCUGCCCAGCUUUCCCCAAUACAUGGCAGCAACCCAGAGAAAGAAGCAGCCAUGAGACAGAAGAGCUGCUGGGAGCUGUGAAAUAAGGAAUGCUGCUACACGGCUGGCAAUCAUGGGGAUGCCAAAAGCUUUGGUGGUGUAAUAAGAUCACCGAUGAUGGACACAGAUUGAACAUCCAGCCAGCCUUAAAGACAUGUCCAAAGAUUGAUCCAGGUGGCACUCAAUCUGGAAGGAAUUUACCUUCUUUUGGGAUUUGCCAUGAUGAUGAUGAUAUCUUCCAGUGGCCUUCUAGAGUUUGCUAGUUCUUCCUUAUGCAAACCUCUGAAGAUUUCCCAAGACAUCGUCCUGAGCAGGUCUCCUUUUUAUUCAUGAUUCACAAAUGUUUAUGUUAAAAGGCUUUUUUAAUUUGCAUGAACAUAUGAGGAAUGCCUGUUCUUGGCAAACAAGGUUAGUCACUCUUCAGCACUGUUACUGAGAUGUUUCAAUCAUCCAGCUGAGAUGCACAAAUGAUACCAUGUGAUUUAAAUGACUACUCACAUUCCAAGAAUAACGAAUAGUGAAUAAUAAACUAAAUAGUUGAAGUCAACAGUUCAUGAGCACCCUUUAGGCUGAAAACUGGCCAAACUUAUAGAGCAGAUACUUGCAAACACAUAAAACCUUGUGUAGAAAUCAGAAUUGGUUCAUACAAAAUCAGUUCCCCAAAAGGGUUACAUGUCAACAAUUUAUUCACAACCAGCUCUAGUCAUAACUUACAAAUACUUUCCUAGUCUCGCAGAAAUAUUCACUAGUAUGUACUGAUCGCAUACCUCACAAAAACAGAGAGAGACCAGUUUUAAAGUAUGGAAGACAGCUGAUCAGAAAUUUUUUUGAAUUUCUGAUGAACAAUUGGGGGAGGGGAUUUUGGUGACAUUUUUCAGGGAAAAUAUUUCCUCUGCUAAUCUUAGAUCUCUGUUAUAUUUUUUUGUGAGGCUGCAUUCUGCUGAGGAGCAGAAGACUGCGGAGGAGUCAGGAGGCGCUUGAAAGGCUCAAGGUUGUCAAUUUCAUAACUGUAACAUGGGUCUUAAAGCCCCAGCUCCUUGAGUCAUGUGAUUAUGUGAGAAAUCAGCUUUCACAUAAAAAGAAAGUAUGCUUCUAACGCUCAUUUUGGCAAAGAAAUCUUGGAAAUGUGAACCCUAAAGGCUCAGAAAAGAGAAGGCAAAAGAACCUGCAAUU